rnacentral:piRNA from 1 species
UGCUUUGACUUAAGAAGAAUU